GCUGGGCCUGGUGGCGCACACCUGUAAUCCCAGCGGCUCAGGAGGCUGAGGCAGGAGGAUCGAAGGUUCAUAGCCAACCUCUGCAAAAGCGAGAUGCUAAGCAACUCAGUGAGACCCUGUCUCUA
rnacentral:sRNA from 1 species